rnacentral:rRNA from 1 species
ACGAAAUCUUCGGAUUUAGUGGCGCACGGGUGAGUAACAUGUGGGAAUCUCUAGGUUCGAUAACUGCGGGAAACUUAGCUAAUACCGGAUGUGUCUGCAAAGAGAAAGAUUUAUCGCCUUCAGAUGAGCCCGCACUAGAUUAGCUAGUUGGUGAGGUAACUGCUCCACCAAGGCUACGAUCUAUAGCUGAUUUGAGAGGAUGAUCAGCCACACUGGGACUGAGACACGGCCCAGACUCCUACGGGAGGCAGCAGUAGGGAAUAUUGCACAAUGGAGGAAACUCUGAUGCAGCGAUGCCGCGUGAGUG